rnacentral:rRNA from 1 species
UACGGGGGGGGUAAGCGUUGUUCGGAAUUACUGGGCGUAAAGGGCGCGUAGGCGGCCUGCUAAGUCGAACGUGAAAUCCCCGGGCUCAACCCGGGAACUGCGUCCGAUACUGGUAGGCUUGAAUUCGGGAGAGGGAUGCGGAAUUCCAGGUGUAGCGGUGAAAUGCGUAGAGAUGUGGAGGAACACCGAUGGCGAAGGCAGCCCCCUGGGUCAACACUGACGCUCAUGCACGAAAGCGUGGGGAGCAAACAGG